rnacentral:rRNA from 1 species
GUAGACGUAUGCAUGCAAAGCUGAAACCUAAAGGAAUUGACGGAAAGCCGGCGCCAGAAGUGGAGCCUGCGUGUUGAUUUGACUCAACACGGGAAAACUUAUUCGGCCCGGACGCUCGAAGGAUUGACAUAUUGAGAGCUCUUUCUUGAUUCAGUGGAUGGCGCUGCAUGGCCGCUCUUAGUGGGUGGAGCGAUUUAUUUGGUUGAUUUCGAUAACGAACAAGACUUGAGCCUAUUAAAGAGGGGCGUAUUUCUCUACAAUUUUGAACCAUUCUUAGAGGGACAGUGGCUCCUAACCGCAGAAAACAGAGCGAUGGCAGAUCUGCAAUGCCCCUAGAUGUCCGGGGCCGCACGCAAGCAAUACUGCAGGAAGCAGCGUGUUUUUAUCUCUGUCUGCAUAGACGGAGUAACCUGUGGAACCACCUUUGUGAUCGCCUUGAACGAGAAAUUCUCAGUAAGCGCGAGUCAUAAGCUCGCGUUGAUUAUGUCCCUGCCCUUUGUACACGCCACCCGUCGCUAUACCACCGAUCGGAUGAUUUAGUGAGGUCUUCGGACGGAUACCCGGAGAGGUUUUUCGAUGAAAAUAAUCCCUGGAGAAGGGGACCAAGAGGGACAAAGGACACCGGUUGCGCGGUUUCAACACACCGGUUGCGCCGGUGUGUUGAAACGAUGACCGAACUUGAUAAUCUAGAAGAAGUGAAAGUCGUAACAAGGUUUCUGUAGGUGCACCUGGAGAAA